AGCAGCCGCGGUAAUUCCAGCUCCAAUAGCGUAUAUUAAAGUUGUUGCAGUUAAAAAGCUCGUAGUUGAAUUUCGGGAUCAAUAUUUCGGUCAUGCCGUUGGUAUGCACUGUUAUCAUUGAUUUCUCACCUUCUAAAGAACCGUAAUGCCAUUAAUUUGGUGUUACGGGGAAUUAGGACUGUUACCUUGAAAAAUUAGAGUGUUUAAAGCAGGCUCACGCUUGAAUACAUUAGCAUGGAAUAAUGAAAUAGGACAUCCGAUUCUAUUUUGUUGGUUUCUAGGAUCGAUGUAAUGAUUAAUAGGGAUAGUUGGGGGCAUUAGUAUUCAAUUGUCAAAGGUGAAAUUCUUGGAUUUAUUGAAGACUAACUACUGCGAAAGCAUUUGCCAAGGAUGUUUUCAUUAAUCAAGAACGAAAGUUAGGGGAUCGAAGACGAUCAGAUACCGUCGUAGUCUUAACCAUAAACUAUGCCGACUAGGGAUCGGAUGAUGUUAAUUUUUAAUGUACUCA
rnacentral:rRNA from 1 species